GUUAUAUUAAUACUUAUAAUGUAUUAUAUAAUAUAUUAUACAUUGAUAAUAUUCACAAUGAUAUACAUAAAAACCUAAAUUUAGAUAAACGUCCGUAAUCUAAAAAUAUAACUUCUUUCGAGCGCUGAUCGGAAGUCGUGUCACGAAAUUUCACAAUGCGUGGGACUAAUUUGGAAAGUGAUGCAAAUUAUGUGAAAUCGUAUUUGACUUAGAAGGAAUUUAUGUACGUAAUAAGAUACGAAUCGCGAAGUUCUUCGUUUCGAUGGAAGCUGUACAGUUUCGAAGAAGAAAUUUACAUAGGAGGAAAAAAAACAUAUGGAAAAUGGUGCACUCUUGCGUAUACUGCAAAAUAUUAUACGAUAACAGAGCGUUACACAACAUAAAAGGAAAAUCGUGUUUAUACGAAAAAGGCAAUCGACAUAUGCAAAUAUACGUACGUCAAGCAAGGAUUGGAUACAAUUUCAUUUGUGUUUAGUUUUAAAGAAGAGCUUGGGAAUACCGAGCACAGUGGGAAUGCACAGUGGUGAUUAAUCAUGCUUCAUAGUCGAUGGGAACGAUUCAUUAUUGAAGCAGAUUUCCAAUUAUACCAAGGUGGGAUAUUUUUAAAAGAUUAUUUUAUUUUUAUUCCGGAUCACGCUAGUGAAUUUCGAUGAUUUAUUCAUUAAACAUAGGCGACUGGUCAUAGAAGAAUAUCGUGGACAAUAUUUGAAUUAUUGAAAUUUUUGUUGUAAUCUUGACUAUGUAACGAUAUUGAAUAUAUCUGGUAUAUGUAUCAUGUAAUAUUUUUGAUAUAACUGAAUAAUUGUCAACAUAAUAGAUAGAAUUUUACCGGAAAUUUAAUAUCACAGGGUACAUAUUAGAUGCAGAAUUCAAAUGCCAAGAAAGGUUAGAUCGCAUCUAAAGUUUUGUUUGUAACAUUUACUUGGUCAAAAUUGCCUAGCUAAACUGAUGAUUCAAAUCUGAUUAUACAUGUAAGAUAUUUUAUGCAUUAUCUCUAUGACAUUUUAGAUCAGAUAAUAUGUAUUCGGAUGUAUUAUAUAGUUAUUGGAGAAGUAUCAAUAUUUAAAUGAAUUGAGAAACCUCUUUGCUUCGGUUAAGGAAUAUAAAUUAAGAAACGAUCUUAUAUAUAUAUUAGUAAUUGCGCAUUUUAUUUUAUAUAAAUAAUGCUGUAAAUAUCAUUCGAGUUAAAAUGAAACUAACCAAAUUUUAUACACCUAUGUUUUUCAAAGUAAGUGGUAAAACAAAGCUUUUAAGAUGCUGUUUUCAUUACAAUACAUACAAAUUCUAAA